UGGGGAAUAUUGCACAAUGGGCGCAAGCCUGAUGCAGCCAUGCCGCGUGUGUGAAGAAGGCCUUCGGGUUGUAAAGCACUUUCAGCGGGGAGGAAGGCGUUAAGGUUAAUAACCUUGGCGAUUGACGUUACCCUCAGAAGAAGCACCGGCUAACUCCGUGCCAGCAGCCGCGGUAAUACGGAGGGUGCAAGCGUUAAUCGGAAUUACUGGGCGCAAAGCGCACGCAGGCGGUCUGGUAAGUCGGAUGUGAAAUCCCCGGGCUCAACCUGGGAACUGCAAUCGAAACUGGCAGGCUAGAGUCUUGUAGAGGGAGGUAGAAUUCCAGGUGUAGCGGUGAAAUGCGUAGAGAUCUGGAGGAAUACCGGUGGCGAAGGCGGCCCCCUGGACAAAGACUGACGCUCAGGUGCGAAAGAGUGGGGAGCAAACAGG
rnacentral:rRNA from 1 species